GGGCGGUUAGCUCAGUUGGUUAGAGCGCCUGCCUUACAAGCAGGAGGUCCGCGGUUCGAGCCCGCGACCGCCCACCA
rnacentral:tRNA from 2 species